UGCAAACUUUAUAUGUCACAGGGG
rnacentral:piRNA from 1 species